GCCUUCGUAGCUCAGUCGGUAGAGCAGAGGACUGAAAAUCCUCGUGUCACUGGUUCGAUUCCGGUCGAAGGCACCA
rnacentral:tRNA from 1 species